CGGACGGGUGAGGUAUGUAUGGGAUCGUGCUCGAUGGCGGGGGAUAACUACUGGAAACGGUAGCUAAUACCGCAUAACGUCGCAAGACCAAAGAGGGGGACCUUCGGGCCUCUUGCCAUCGGAUGUGCCCAGAUGGGAUUAGCUAGUAGGUGGGGUAACGGCUCACCUAGGCGACGAUCCCUAGCUGGUCUGAGAGGAUGACCAGCCACACUGGAACUGAGACACGGUCCAG
rnacentral:rRNA from 1 species